rnacentral:rRNA from 1 species
GACGAACGCUGGCGGCAUGCCUAACACAUGCAAGUCGAACGGAGAUUCUUUCGGUAAUCUUAGUGGCGAACGGGUGAGUAACGCGUGGGCACCCUGCCCUCUAGAUGGGGACAACAUCCCGAAAGGGGUGCUAAUACCGAAUGUGACAGCAAUCUCGCAUGAGGAUGCUGUGAAAGAUGGCCUCUAUUUAUAAGCUAUCGCUAGAGGAUGGGCCUGCGUCUGAUUAGCUAGUUGGUGGGGUAACGGCCUACCAAGGCGAUGAUCAGUAGCCGGUCUGAGAGGAUGAACGGCCACAUUGGGACUGUGACACGGCCCAGACUCCUACAGGAGGCAGCAGUGGGGAAUCGUCCGCAAUGGACGAAAGCCUGACGGAGCAAUGCCGCGGGAGUGAUGAAGGAAUUCGUGCCGUAAAGCUCUGUUGUUUAUGACGAAUGUGCAGAUUGUGAACAAUGAUCUGUAAUGACGGUAGUAAACGAAUAAGCCACGGCUAACUACGUG